rnacentral:tRNA from 8 species
UAGCUCAGUUGGUAGAGCGCAACCUUGCCAAGGUUGAGGUCACGAGUUCGAACCUCGUGUGUCGCUCCA